rnacentral:rRNA from 1 species
UACGGGGGGGGCAAGCGUUGUUCGGAAUUACUGGGCGUAAAGGGCUCGUAGGCGGCCAACUAAGUCAGACGUGAAAUCCCUCGGCUUAACCGGGGAACUGCGUCUGAUACUGGAUGGCUUGAAUCCGGGAGAGGGAUGCGGAAUUCCAGGUGUAGCGGUGAAAUGCGUAGAUAUCUGGAGGAACACCGGUGGCGAAGGCGGCAUCCUGGACCGGCAUUGACGCUAAAGCGCGAAAGCCAGGGGAGCAAACGGG